rnacentral:sRNA from 1 species
AUGUACCACGCGUCCACUGCGGUUCUGAGCGCGCCGUGCGCGCCCACCUGACAGCUGCUCGCACAGUUUCUCUCUC